ACUAUGCACAUCGGCCAAAUCAAACCAUCUAUUACUUCGGUAUUAGAAAACUAACGGGUAACUCACGUGAGAGACCACAUGAGAAUAAAAAUUAGCAAACGUCGAGGGAGAGAGAAAGCUAGCUUUAGAGAGAGAGAGAGAGAGAGAGAGACAAUCAAACAAGAAUUCCAGAACCACCAUCGUCAACCUUCUCUCCUGUGCUGGAAUCUUUGUCCCGCAGUCGUCUUGCCAUUGGGUUUUAUGAUGGGAAGGAAACAAUGGAAAUGAAAGUUUCUUCUUCCAAUUAUUUGAAGUUGAUAAUGUUGCCAUUCCUAAACAAGAGAUCUAUUAUUAUUUUUCUUUGUCCUUUUUUUUUCCUUCUUAAUUUAAACCAAAAAAAAAAGAAGUUAGCUGAGUACCUCAUGCAGUGCCAUGCUAUCCCUAUUAAAGUUUGCAAUGCAGUGGAUAAGCUGAUUAGGGACUUCCUUUAGGGAUCAAUCCUCUGAUGAAAAAAGAAGGUUUCAUAUGGUCAAUUGGCUUCACAUGGGAGGACUAGCCCAAAUGAAAUUCAGGAAUCAAGCUAUUCUAGCUAAGUUGUGUUGGAGGCUGGCUAAUGAACAAGAUGCUCCUUGGGCUAAUUUGCUGGCUAAGAAAGAUCUGUCUGCUUCGAGAUUGACUGAAGAAGGAAAAAAGCACCCAUGCUCAAGGAUUUGGGCUGCUUGCAAGAAAGGAGGUCCAGUGUAUGUUAAAGGGUUGAUGAUCUAUGAACAAUGGUAGUUCUAUCAAAUUCUGGCAAGAUUUCUGGCUUUCCUUGGGACCCAUGAGAAAUCUUAUUGAAGGUCCUCUCUCAAGAGAUGAGGAACAACUCACAGUGCAACAAUGCUUUGAUAUGAGCAUUGGUUAGAAUUUACAAAACAUGUCUUUCUACUUACCGGAUCAUAUUAUUAAUUCAAUUCAUGCCACCCCUUUCUCUUGUGACCAGACUACAAAGCAUUCGUUAGCCUGGGCUUUUUCGAAAGAUGGCAGCUUCGCUCUCCAAUCAUCUUACUUAUUGGCAAGAGAUUCGAACCUAUUUCACUUGGAGUCUUGAUGAAGAUACUGACUAAUUUUUUUGUUUCUACUUACCGGAUCAUAAUUUUUUUGUCUUGAUAAAGAUAACAACUAUUUGUAAACACUCAUUAAUAUUUCAAUUUAUGGCAGAUUGGGACUCAUUCAUUUUUUGUGUA